UGGGGAAUAUUGCACAAUGGAGGGAACUCUGAUGCAGCGACGCCGCGUGAGUGAUGAAGGAAUUCGUUUCGUAAAACUCUGUUCUAUGGGAAGAAAAGGACUGUACCAUAGGAGAAAGCUCCGGCUAAAUACGUGCCAGCAGCCGCGGUAAUACGUAUGGAGCGAGCGUUGUCCGGAAUUAUUGGGCGUAAAGGGUGCGCAGGCGGCUUUACAAGUUGGAUGUGAAAUAUUGUGGCUCAACCACAAACGUGCAUCCAAAACUGCAAAGCUUGAUUUAAGGAGAGGUAAGUGGAAUUCCUGGUGUAGCGGUGGAAUGCGUAGAUAUCAGGAGUAAUACCGUUGGCGAAGGCGACUUUCUGGACUUAAACUGACGCUCAAGCACUAAAGCGUGGGGAGCAAACAGG
rnacentral:rRNA from 1 species